GAUGAACGCUGGCGGCGUGCCUAAUACAUGCAAGUCGAGCGAACGGACGAGAAGCUUGCUUCUCUGAUGUUAGCGGCGGACGGGUGAGUAACACGUGGAUAACCUACCUAUAAGACUGGGUUAACUUCGGGAAACCGGAGCUAAUACCGGAUGAUAUUUUGAACCGCAUGGUUCAAAAGUGAAAGACGGUCUUGCUGUCACUUAUAGAUGGAUCCGCGCUGCAUUAGCUAGUUGGUAAGGUAACGGCUUACCAAGGCAACGAUGCAUAGCCGACCUGAGAGGGUGAUCGGCCACACUGGAACUGAGACACGGUCCAGACUCCUACGGGAGGCAGCAGUAGGGAAUCUUCCGCAAUGGGCGAAAGCCUGACGGAGCAACGCCGCGUGAGUGAUGAAGGUAUUCGGAUCGUAAAACUCUGUUAUUAGGGAAGAACAUAUGUGCAAGUAACUGUGCACAUCUUGACGGUACCUAAUCAGAAAGCCACGGCUAACUACGUG
rnacentral:rRNA from 1 species